CUGGCGGGCGCCCCCAGGGAGGAGGAGCUGACAUCCCCGCGUGCAGAGCCCCCCUUCUGGGAGGACCCCUUCCCAGUCGGGUUCCACUCGACCAGCAUUUCUGCAAAACUGCUCUGGAGCCACGACAUUAAGAAACCUUCUUUAAUUUUGCCCUUUCACUUUUCCCCAUCUAUGCAAGGAGAAAACAUCAACAAGGAGGGGAGAAAACUCCCCUGGCAAACAAAACAAAGAAGCCCCACCACGCCCACCUGGAGGGAACCACACACCACUGCUAAAGCGGAGGGGAACACACAUGAAAAGUCAUAACCCGCCGCCGCCGAAUGAGUGAUAAUGGAGGAGAAAUAAAUGGCUCUGGGGACCUGCGCCCGGCACUCUGUGCCAUUUCCCACGGAACGUCUCGCUGGGAUGCGAGCUCCUGUUUCCUCUUCUUACAAAGUCUCCAGUUGCAGUUGCCAGUUCCACGGGGCAUGUGAGGCGCACACGGCCUGGAGUGGGAGGUUCCUCGGGUUCGGAAGAUGCCGUGACCUGGUUAACCUGCCUGGCAGGGGACAGGCCAGUCACCAUCCAGGCAGCCCUCAUUGUCCAGGGCGACCUCCAGCCCCACCCACUGUGCCUGGUGGCUGUGAGCUUGACCGGGGCGAGUGGCAGGUGUGGUUAGCUGCAUGACCGGGUUAACUGCAGCCUCUGAGGAGAAGCUGGGCACAGACCUGGACACCGUGGUGGGACCCACUGCCCGGCCCAACCAGGCCCGAUGAAGGGACCCCGGAUGAGACAGUCCAGGCCUGCAGGUGACCGGGGGAGACCUCAGGGUGGGGCUGCCCAGGGUAACAGGGCUCUCUUGUGGGAGCGGGUCAUGUGUGGACACCCAGGCAGGCCGGGAGGGCAGGGCCGGGCUCGGGCCACCAGGGGCAAGGCCUGGCCCCACCCUGGCUGCUGGCAGAGGCCAGGGGCAGAGUCAGGUCGAGGGGCGACCGGAUGUCUGGGCUGGGGAGGAAUCUGCAGUCACGUGGGCACGCUCCCACCUCACGGCCUUGCACCCUCCAGCUGGAACUGUCUUUCUGCAGAUCU